rnacentral:lncRNA from 1 species
GCCCAGGGCGGAAGGGAGUGGACUCUGCCGGCAGGAGCUGAGAAAUCCUCUGAGUAGCGGGAAGUGCGGUACAGUCUGGGCAUUCUGAUGUUUGUGAUUGUUUUUCUCACGGUGAUGAAAAACUCCAUGAUGCGUUAUCUGGGUCUGGAAACCCAAACCCUCAAGGAUGGCCUGGCGCAUGGGGGAACCAGCCUGCUGGGGCAGGGGGCUACCCAGGGGCUUCCUAUCCUGGGGCCUACCCCGGGCAGGCACCCCCAGGGGCUUAUCCUGGACAGGCACCUCCAGGCGCCUACCCUGGAGCACCUGGAGCUUAUCCCGGAGCACCUGCACCUGGAGUCUACCCAGGGCCACCCAGCGGCCCUGGGGCCUACCCAUCUUCUGGACAGCCAAGUGCCACCGGAGCCUACCCUGCCACUGGCCCCUAUGGCGCCCCUGCUGGGCCACUGAUUGUGCCUUAUAACCUGCCUUUGCCUGGGGGAGUGGUGCCUCGCAUGCUGAUAACAAUUCUGGGCACGGUGAAGCCCAAUGCAAACAGAAUUGCUUUAGAUUUCCAAAGAGGGAAUGAUGUUGCCUUCCACUUUAACCCACGCUUCAAUGAGAACAACAGGAGAGUCAUUGUUUGCAAUACAAAGCUGGAUAAUAACUGGGGAAGGGAAGAAAGACAGUCGGUUUUCCCAUUUGAAAGUGGGAAACCAUUCAAAAUACAAGUACUGGUUGAACCUGACCACUUCAAGGUUGCAGUGAAUGAUGCUCACUUGUUGCAGUACAAUCAUCGGGUUAAAAAACUCAAUGAAAUCAGCAAACUGGGAAUUUCUGGUGACAUAGACCUCACCAGUGCUUCAUAUACCAUGAUAUAAUCUGAAAGGGGC